ensembl:lincRNA
AUGCAGGCGCCCUCCCAGAGAGGGAGCCAAUUUGAGCUCUGCUUCCAGGUACAGAACUCAGAGUUCAAGGUGAGCAGGAACUCACUUCCCUUCAGCCCCCUGUUCCCCAGCCCCAUCGGGUGCUGUGGACAGUCUUUAAACAGCCACGUGAGCAACACCUUUGCACAGAGAAGAGGACCAUUUCCUUGGAAGGCGAAGGCUGCAGUCUGCUUCCACACCUUCAGCUUCAACUCCAGCCUGCAGCCCCACAGCUCGCUGUAUGAGUUCAGUGAAGCGACACAGGUCAAAGAGCACGAAGUAGCCUGCUGGGGACACUCGGGUCUAUUUGGUCAUCUCUGCGUUUUACAGUCUUUGAAUGUUUCACCAACAUCGAAAAGAAGCUGCCAGCUAUCGAGACCAGCCCAGCAACGAACUGACCUGAGGGAGCGGUGCCACAGAAGAAUAAGGAAAAAGAAGACUCAGAAAUAAGGUGGGGGUCAGCAGACAAAAGCCCAGAUCCUAAUCCUAGCAUUCCUUUUAUUGUUAACAUCUACUUCCUUAUUUGUGCUCUAGAGAUAUCUCUUUACAAUUUCAGAUCGGGGAUAAAGAAACACAAUGCACAGUCCUCAGUGUCAAAUUCCAGGCCCUUCAUGACUUUGUUUAGCCCUUUGGCUAGUGACGCCCUUUCUCAGCAACUCCCUCAAGGCUCUGGUUAAGGGAACAGUCACUGAUGGUUUUCCGUCAGUCACAUCAGUACUUCAAUGUCCUGUACUUUUAACUGCUCCCAGCCCUUCACCUGGGGGUGAUGAGAGAGUCAUUCUUAUUUUUCAAGAAGCCCUGUUAAUUAUAAUACAGGCCUGUGCAUAGCCUAUUCCUUAUAUAUCUCCCUUUUUUAUGUUUUGAAGCUUACUUUNNNNNNNNNNNNNNNNNNNNNNNNNNNNNNNNNNNNNNNNNNNNNNNNNNNNNNNNNNNNNNNNNNNNNNNNNNNNNNNNNNNNNNNNNNNNNNNNNNNNCCUCCCUCCCCAUCCCAUCCCUCGGGGUCAUCCCAGUGCACCAGCCCUGAGCACCCUGUCUCAUGCAUCGAACCUGGACUGGCGAUCUGUUUCACAUAUGGUAAUAUACAUGUUUCAAUGCUAUUCUCUCAAAUCAUCCCACCGUCGCCUUCUCGAGCAAAGUCCAAAAGUCUGUUAUUUGUUUUCAAGAUGUCUUUCUAUGAUAUACUUUUUACUGCCCCCAGCCCUUUGCUUGGGGUUGAUAAGAAAGUCAUUCUUAUUUUUCAAAGAAGCACUGUUAUUUAUAGUAUAUGCCUGUACAUAGCAUAUUCCCUACAUAUCUCCCUUUUUUAUUUUUUGAAGCUUAUUUUUGGUGAUUAUUGUUGAUCAUAGAAGCCAAUGCGAUAGUCACUAAUUGCUAUUGUUGUCUGUCGACUUUCUUGGUGAUGCACUGCCAGAUAUGAUAUUUACCACAGAUAACAUAGCCAAGAACAAGGUAGCAGAGAUCAAAGGCCAAGGUAGCCGAGGUCAAAGGCUGUCCCUGUUCUUUGACCAAUUUUUCCCUUCAAUGGUCAGUUUCUUCAGUUGACCCCAAAUGGGGGGUUUGGCUUUGUUGGUCCUUGGAACCGGUUUGGGGCAGUUGCUGAUCAUCAGUCUUGUUUUCCCCAUCACUGGCGGCUCUCCGGGAGGGUCGAUGUCGAACUAUGUCCUCUUCUUUCCUUUCUUUGACAUGUCUUCCUGGUACUCAGUGGUGUUGUCCAUCAUCUGAAAUGACAAGAGCAUAACCUCAUCCUUUCUUACGUCUAAGGCCCUUGCACCAAUUGUUCAUAGCAUUUUCUCACCACAUUGGAGUAUUAUCUGCAAUCAUUUGACCAGGAGUAUAAUUUUCACUAAGAAUGGUGUUCUGAGAACGCAGUGUUGCUGCUGGUGUUGUAUGAUCCAAUCUUAAAUCCAAAAACUUUAAAGUAAAUAAAGCUUGGACUAAUUUCUCUUUUGGUGUCAUCAAUAUGCCAUGCUUUUCUCCCCCUUUCUGUUUAAAUAGCAUAUUUUUUAGAGUACGAUGAGUGUGUAAUAGCCUGGCCUUGAAAAUUAUAUGGAAUACCUGUAGAAUGAGAAAUUUUCCAAUCAGAUAAAAAUUUUGCAAAACCAUGACUCACAUAUGCAGGCCCAUUAUCAGUUUUAACAUGUUUUGGGAGGCCCAUGUAAGAAAAGGCUUGCAAAACAUGUGAGAUAACAUGAGCAGAUGUUUCUCCAGAAUGAGCAAAAGCAUAAAUUAUGCCCGAAUAAGUAUCCACAGAAACAUGAACAGCUCCCAGAUGUCCAAAAGAAGGGACAUGAGUAACAUCAGUCUGCCAAAUAUCACUGGGAUAAAGGCCUCUGGGAUUAACCCCUGUAGUUGUAGGAACAUGGUGAGUAACAGUCCAUGAGGGGCAGGCAGAAACAAUACCUCGGGCUUCUUGCCUGGAUAAUUGAAAUUUAUUCAUCAAACCGUGUGUAUCAUAUGUGUGAGUUGAUGAAAUUCAUAAGGAGUAAGACAAGCAAUUAACAAAGAGUCGAUGGAAUCAUUGCCCUUUGCCAACGGCCCGGGCAAAUUAGAAUGAGAUCUGAUACGUGUAAUGCAAAAAGGGGCAGAAUGAAGCCUUACUACAUUUUGUAAUUGAGAUAAUAUUGUAUAAUAAUAGAUGAUUUAGAAGAAGCCUUUGGUAGAGGUACGCUUUCAAUAAUUUGUGUUACCCGUACAGCAUAUUGAGAAUCUGAUACAAUAUUUGAUGCUAUAGAAAUACCCUGUAGUAAGGUAGCACAGAGUCGGACACGAUUGAAGUGACUUAGCAGCAGCAGCAGCCUCUCUUGAACAGAGGCUACGGUAGAUUGCCAGAUCUUUGUUGUGGGUCCAGUAUAACCGGCUUUGAGAGUUUUAUUUGCGUCCGUAAAAUACACAGGGGAGGUAGCAAGAGGAAUUUUUUCGUAAUAAUAGGAAUUAUCCAUUUGUGUUUAGCAGCAAUAGUAAUCAAAGGUGAUUUUGGAAAAUGGUUAUGAACCUUACCUAUGAAAUCAGCAGUGGCAAUUUGCCAAUCCAUUCUCUUAACAAUCUAUGGGUUUGAUAAGUGAAAGGAAGAACAAUUUCCUGUGGAUCAUAAUCAGAAAGUUGUAUACAUCUGGAUCUCAUUUUUGAAACAAGAAAAGAAAUAAGCAUUAUGUAAGUAGUCAUCAUUUUCUUAGGAGUGUGGGAUAAAAAUCCCCAUUCAAGGAUAUCCUGUGGUUGCCAUAAUAUUCCUGUAGGGGAAUCUAAAGCAGGAAGAAUAAGUAAAGAAAUUG